UGGGAUAUAGCUUAGUUGGUACAGUGCUUGCAUAGCAUGCACAAGGCCCUAGGUUCAACCCCUGGUAUCACAC
rnacentral:tRNA from 1 species